AAAAAAAAAAAACAAAAGGAAAAGAGCAUGAAAUCGAUCUAAACCCUCUGAUCAAAACAAAAUAAUAAAUGAUCACCUGAAAAGCUCAACCAAUCCAAAUUCACUUUUGUUUUUGGGAAUUAGAGAAUGAAACUUCUCUUUUCUCUCCUCUUUUUCUCUCUCGCUUUCUCCUCUUUCCUCUCAUCAUCCGUCGCCAGAGGCGGAGAACGUGCUUCUCUAUGUUCAGGCACUAAUAAUGUCAGUAGUUAUGUGAAUUAUGCUAGGCGGUUUCUUGUUGAGGAUGACCAAUCUCAGGGAAGUGUUGAUAAGGCUCGUGGAUACUUGACUAACUCUGAUCUUGAAAAAGCUGUGAAGGAAUUUGGGGAAAGAUGCAGUAGCAUUUCUAGGAUUUAUAGGUGAUUACUAUAUAUUUUUGCUGUAAUAAUUGUUAGCAAUAGCCAGCUGGAGUUGUGCGUUAAAGGGCCUUUUUUUUUGCUUUUAAGGCAAUUGUGCUGACUUGUGUUCUUUGUUCCUCUCUUUGAGGGAUUCUUGGAAUGGGUAAUCAGUAUUGGAAAGAGUGUGAAUGGAUUUCCACUGGUAAUGGUUUCACUGAAGUUAAUUCUUCUCUUUAUCUUUCUCUGCUUUCAUGUCUUUUUUAGCUGUAAUUUUAUGCUAUUGAGUUGUGUAUUUUUAAGUAUUUGUUUUUAUAUUAUUGCUUCUAGUGGGUUAUAGAGAUCUCUGACAAGCCUGGGGCGGAAGAGCCUGAACCUGCAUUCAAGUAUAUUGGAAAUGUGCAUGGAGAUGAACCCGUAGGUCGUGAACUUCUGAUACAUCUUGCUAACUGGAUAUGUGAUAACUAUCUGAAGGAUCCCUUGGCCAGGUUGAUAGUAGAAAAUGUUCACCUUCAUAUUCUUCCAUCAAUGAAUCCUGAUGGGUUUUCAUUGAGGAGGCGUGGUAAUGCAAACAAUGUUGAUCUAAAUCGAGAUUUCCCAGACCAGUUCUUUCCUUUGAAUGGUGACAUAAACUCACGACAACCUGAAACAAGAGCAAUUAUGAAUUGGUUGGGAGAGAUACAUUUCACAGCAUCUGCCAGUUUGCAUGGGGGUGCACUUGUUGCAAACUAUCCAUGGGAUGGUACAGGGGAUAAAAGGAGAAAUUACUAUGCAUGUCCUGAUGAUGAUACAUUCCGGUUCAUGGCAAGUAUAUAUAGCCGUUCUCAUCAUAACAUGUCUUUGAGCAAAGAAUUUCCUGGAGGAAUAACAAAUGGAGCAUCUUGGUACCCAAUAUAUGGUGGAAUGCAAGAUUGGAACUAUAUACAUGCUGGCUGUUUUGAAUUGACCUUGGAGAUUAGUGACAACAAGUGGCCUAAUGCUGAUGAGCUUCCUGUACUUUGGGAAUACAACAAAAUGAGUUUAUUAAACCUUGUAGCCAGCCUUGUGAAGACAGGAGUACAUGGAAGGAUAUUUUCAUCUGAUGGAGGGAGGCCACUACCAGGUUCUAUCAUGAUCAAAGGAAUAAAUUAUACGAUUAAAGCUGGUAGCUUAUUUGCUGAUUACCAUCGCUUGCUUAACCCAGCAGAGAGAUAUGAAGGUAUCCGAUAUUGUGCACUGAUCAUAUUUUUUAGGGUUUCUUUUUGUGAUUAAAUCUCAGCAAUUCAAGUAAUGCAUGAAAUCUAUUUCAAGUGCUUAAAAUGGAUCUUGAAAGCCAAAAGUAGAACGAUAAAUCUAAUAUACUUUUGAUGAAUUGGGUAUGUUGGAUGCCAAUCUAUUUCAUUUCAUGGCAAUACAAAAGUACAGAGCCAAAGAGAAGGUGUCAUGACAUUGGCAGAAUUAUAAUUGAAAAAAAUAGUAAAACAUCAAUUGAAACCCUUUUUUCAUAUGGUGAACUAUUUAGAGUGCGUAAGUAUGAAGCAUUGAUAAUUAUUAAUCUCAAGAAUCAUGAAUGUAGUAUUGACCCACAAAUUGAUGUUAGCUCAAAUGGUACACCCGCAGCCUUGCUGGUAAUUGCAAGUGACAGUCAUGGAUUCAAUGGCGCGACCCUUCUCUUAAAAAAAAGUGCUGAUCUAUCUGGUACACUUCGAAGUCUAUGUAUAGAAAGUAACAGGGCACAGACAUUUUGUAAAUAGUCUUUUAUUUAAGAAUUACUGACCAUCACAUUGUUCAAUAAUAUACUAAAAUUUUUUCCUUUUUUCAUACUUCAGCAUUAUUCUACAUUAGUAUAUACUGUGUAAUUGUGUUAUAAUUCGAAUGAUCAUGUGCAUCAUGUGUAUACUUAAGGGUGUGAGUAAAAUAGCUAACAGUUGACCAUUUUGAGGCAGCCUCCUCUAAAUUGUGUUGCUAAAUAUUUGUAGUCUAGAACAUACCUGUAAUCUUUUAAUGCUGCAAGUUCAGCUUUUUUAUUUUCUUGAUGUAUUUCGGAGAGCUUUGGAAGUUUGCCUUCUGGUAAAAUUUUUCAAUAAUUGAUGUAUCAUAGUCCCCAAUCUCAUUCUUCUCUAGUUGUGUUUUCAAGUCUACUCUUAACUCAUCUAGAUGAACUGAUCAGUUAUUUUUCCUGAGUUAAUUCUGAUUUCAAUGUGACAAAUAUCUGUAGUUGUGGCCUCCAUGCCGGGGUACAAAUCAAAGACCACAUGGAUCGUGUUAGGAGAAUCAGCCAUGAGUGUAGACUUUAUUCUUGAUCCCGAAGUCACAGCUAUGGAGAAUCUAAGAAUUAUCUGUGAUUGCAGCUAUUGUGGCAAGUCCAAGCUUGAAAAUUUGUGGGGGUUUCACUUGGAAUUUUAUUAUAUUAUUUUGAUUACCAUUUCAGUUUUCCUCUGCGUUCUAUUAAUAUGGAGAAUGAGGUUGAACUUCUUAAACCAUAGACAGUCGACCAAAAAGUCAAGUGAAGUGUGAGGCACUCACUGUUAACUUGUACUAAAUUGUUGUACAUUUCAGAUAAAAAUAUACACCUUUUUGUCAUUUGCUCAUCCAUUAUGAAGCUUCUGUAAACUUGUUUUGGAACAAGUUUUCCUAUGCUGGACAUUCUAUUUAGUUUAUUUUUGUCAAUGAAACUGAUGAGAUCUAACCUUUGUAUGUAGCUUUGUGAAGGUAAUUGAAAUAUAUAUUUUCUGAAC
rnacentral:misc_RNA from 1 species